AGCUACGGCCAUACACACUAGAAAACGCACGAACCCGUCCGAUCUCGUCAGCUAAGCUGGUGCUGGCCCGGUCAGUACUAUGGUGGGGGACCACAUGGGAAUACCGGGUGCUGUAGUUU
rnacentral:rRNA from 1 species